UACGUAGGGUGCAAGCGUUGUCCGGAAUUAUUGGGCGUAAAGAGCUCGUAGGUGGCCUGUCGCGUCGGCUGUGAAAACUCGGGGCUCAACUCCGAGCUUGCAGUCGAUACGGGCAGGCUAGAGUUCGGCAGGGGAGACUGGAAUUCCUGGUGUAGCGGUGAAAUGCGCAGAUAUCAGGAGGAACACCGGUGGCGAAGGCGGGUCUCUGGGCCGAUACUGACGCUGAGGAGCGAAAGCAUGGGUAGCGAACAGG
rnacentral:rRNA from 1 species